UACGAAGGGGGCUAGCGUUGUUCGGAUUUACUGGGCGUAAAGCGCGUGUAGGCGGGUCGUUAAGUUGGGGGUGAAAUCCCGAGGCUCAACCUCGGAACUGCCUUCAAAACUGGCGACCUGGAGCAAAGAAGAGGCGAGUGGAAUUGCGAGUGUAGAGGUGAAAUUCGUAGAUAUCAGGAGGAACACCGAUGGCGAAGGCAGCUCGCUGGGACGGUACUGACGCUGAGGUGCGAAAGCGUGGGGAGCAAACAGG
rnacentral:rRNA from 1 species